GCUGGAAUGGUCUAGUUGGUUGUGACGACUGCCUAACACACAGUAGGUUCCGAGUUUGACUCUCGGUCCCAGUA
rnacentral:tRNA from 1 species